CUAUUCCCCCUAAAGUGACACAGGGGCUUUAAGAACCCCUGACAACAGCACUACAGCCAACAGGCUUUAUCAUUGUCAAUGGGUCUUUGCAGUGCUUCUUGCUGCAUCACUCAACAAAUACUUACUAAAAGCCCACAUACAUCACGUCACAAUUUUAAAUUUGGAAGACAGCCACACCUCACAAUUCUGAUCAAAGAAUAUAGAAUACUCACACCCUAUCUCACUUCACAAAGGAACUGACACCUAAUUUAAAGGAAAAUAUUGUCCUGAAUGUCUAAAAUAGGUUCUCAGACCAUAUUUUAUGGGAGAUCUACUUCCCACUGGAAGAUCUAAAAUCAUUUCCAUUUUUCUUGUGCAUAAGGCAGUAUACAAGCUUCUAAUCACAAGGGACACAAAGUAAUUCUUAUCCAAAAGGAAAAUGAGUGUUCAUUUUACAUUCACUGAGAGGAAACAUUCUGAUGAAGAGAAUGUGGACGUGGUGGCUCCCACAAUUAAGCUGUUUCGAAAUUAAUGAGGUUCGACGGGAAACUAACAUGUUCGAGGAAUUGCAUAUUCGACCGCUUCAAACAACAACCCUUGCACCCCGACAGCUGCCGGCGCCAGCCCGCCUCCCGCGAGCAGACGCGGCGGGGAGGAGCUCCGCUGGCUGCGACGGCGAGCCAAGCCGGGCCGGCGGGGACCCGAGCGCCGGCCCCACGGCGCUCCCAGACAAUGGGGGGCCGGGCACGCGCGAGGCACGCGCCCCUGGCCGCGACUGGCACCCGACCCCCGCGAGCGAGUUAAUUAUACAGACCGAACCCCAUUAAAGACCCCCGCCCGACCUCCCCGAGGUGCUCAGAUGAGGUGCAGAGAGGAUGAACACCUUGCCAAGUAAUGACUGGACUAUUCUGAUCUGGAUUAAUGCCCGUUCCGUGGCCUCACGUGCUGGUGUGGAGGCUGCUUCCCACAGGUUCUGAAGCAUCCUAAUCAGGAGGGAAAUGAGGAAAAUAAACGCCUGCGUAAUUUAGUCACCUAUAUCAUGUACUACAUGUUCCCAUAUAGCGUUUGAAAGCCUCAACCAUUAAAAAGGCAUUAUAAAUCA